AGAAUGAACGCUGGCGGCAGGCCUAACACAUGCAAGUCGAACGGAGUUAUAUUGUAGCUUGCUAUGGUAUAACUUAGUGGCAGACGGGUGAGUAAUGUAUAGGAAUCUACCUAGUAGUACGGAAUAAUUGUUGGAAACGACAACUAAUACCGUAUACGCCCUACGGGGGAAAAAUUUAUUGCUAUUAGAUGAGCCUAUAUUAGAUUAGCUAGUUGGUGGAGUAAUAGCCUACCAAGGCAAUGAUCUAUAGCUGGUCUGAGAGGA
rnacentral:rRNA from 1 species